rnacentral:rRNA from 1 species
UACGAAGGGUGCAAGCGUUAAUCGGAAUUACUGGGCGUAAAGGGUGCGUAGGCGGUUAGUUACGUCUGUUGUGAAAUCCCCGGGCUCAACCUGGGAAUGGCAAUGGAUACUGGCUGGCUAGAGUGUGUCAGAGGAUGGUGGAAUUCCCGGUGUAGCGGUGAAAUGCGUAGAGAUCGGGAGGAACAUCAGUGGCGAAGGCGGCCAUCUGGGACAACACUGACGCUGAAGCACGAAAGCGUGGGGAGCAAACAGG